rnacentral:rRNA from 1 species
AACGAACGCUGGCGGCAUGCCUAACACAUGCAAGUCGAACGAGACCUUCGGGUCUAGUGGCGCACGGGUGCGUAACGCGUGGGAACCUGCCCUUAGGUUCGGAAUAACUCCCCGAAAGGGGUGCUAAUACCGGAUAAUGUCUUCGGACCAAAGAUUUAUUGCGUUUGGAUGGGCCCGCGUUGGAUUAGCUAGUUGGUAGGGUAAAAGCCUACCAAGGCGACGAUCCAUAGCUGGUCUGAGAGGAUGAUCAGCCACACUGGGACUGAGACACGGCCCAGACUCCUACGGGAGGCAGCAGUGGGGAAUAUUGGACAAUGGGCGAAAGCCUGAUCCAGCAAUGCCGCGUGAGUGAUGAAGGCCUUAGGGUUGUAAAGCUCUUUUACCCGGGAUGAUAAUGACAGUACCGGGAGAAUAAGCUCCGGCUAACUACGUG